GUGCGGAGGGCUGGGAUGCAGGUCCUGGCACCCCAGCCCAGCCCUCUGGAGAUCUUUGCAGCCCAUCUUAAUUCUGACUCACUUCUUAAGAGAGAAAACCAGCUUCUGGGGCUCAGGCCAGCAGCUCCUCCUGCUACCUGCCUCAUCAACCCACGCGUCCUUUCCCACCUCGGGCAGCCUGCUGAGUACAGCCCCAACAGCUGGCUGGCCAGGGCCACUUCUCCAGGGGCCAGUCCAGGCAAGCGGGGGCAGCGAGGAGCUUGUGAUUCUGGACUUGGGGCCGGAUCCUGCUCCCCGCUAGCCUGGGACUCAAGAGGCCGUGACUCCCCUUCUCUGAGUCUCAGGCCCGGUUCUGACCACCUUCUUCCCUGGGGCCAGCUGUGGUGUGCUGGCCAAGCGGACUCAGCUGUCUCGGGUCUGUCCAGCGGGGAGCUCCAGGACCGGCAGGAUGGGGUCAGCCUGUAUCAAAGUCACCAAGUACUUUCUCUUCCUCUUCAACUUGCUCUUCUUUAUCCUGGGCGCGGUGAUCCUGGGUUUCGGAGUGUGGAUCCUGGCCGACAGGAGCAGUUUCAUCUCUGUGCUACAGACCUCCUCCAACUCCCUCAAGGUGGGGGCCUGUGUCUUCAUCGGUGUGGGUGCCGUCACCAUGUUCAUGGGCUUCCUGGGCUGCAUCGGUGCCAUCAAGGAGGUCCGCUGCCUGCUGGGGCUGUACUUUGCCUUCCUCCUCCUCAUGCUCAUCGUCCAGGUGGCCGCUGGAGUCCUCUUCUACUUCAGCACAGGCAAGCUAAAGCAAGAGAUGGGCAGCAUCGUGAUGAAGCUCAUCCAGGACUACAAGGACGGCCAAGAGGACAGACUGCAGGAGGCCUGGGACUACGUGCAGGCUCAGGUGAGGUGCUGCGGCUGGGCCAGCUUCUACAACUGGACGGACAAUGCCGAGCUCAUGAACCGCACCAAUGUCACCUACCCCUGCUCCUGCGAGGAUAAGAGGGAGGCCGACGACAGCUUCCUGGUGCGGAAGGGCUUCUGUGAGGCUUUCAACAGCACCAGGACCGAGAGUGGAAACAACCCCGAGUACUGGCCCGUGUACCGUGAGGGCUGCAUGAAGAAGGUGCAGGCGUGGCUUCAGGAGAACGUGGGCAUCAUCCUGGGCGUGUGUGUGGGCGUCGCUGUCAUCGAGCUCCUGGGGAUGCUCCUGUCCAUCUGCUUGUGCCGGCACGUCCAUUCUGAAGACUACAGCAAGGUCCCCAAGUACUGAGGCACCUGCUGUCUCCCACCUCCCUGCCUGCCCCCAGGCUCAGGGCUCCUCAGGAUCUCCCUGGCUCUCCUCCAGGCUCACCUCCCACCUCAGUCGCCCGUACCCAUCCUGUGCCGGCUGGAGGUGGGGGGCUUCCUGGGGCCUGGACCCAUCUCCCCACCUUUCUGUCUCCAGACUUGAGCCCCAGCUGCCAAGCUAUUCUGUGGCUCCUCCGCUUAUUGCCCGCCAGGAUUCCCUUAGCAACCCAGAGAAAAUGCUCCCGAGGCAUCCCUGCACAGGUAGACUGGGUCUCUACCUGCCUUGGGAUCUGUGUGUAUUGGAUGGGGGAAAAUGUAUUAAACUUUGGGGUGGGGGUGGGGGGUCAGAUAAGGCACCCUGGGCUUCAGGGGACUGCCCACUGCGUGGGUAAACUCUUUUGUCCACUCUAAGGCUUCUCUCUUUGGUUUCUACAUUUUCAUUGAAGGUAGUGGGAGAGGGUGGGCCUUACCUGACACGAGUAGGAGGAGCAACCCUUCUGCAGGCCAGCUCCAGCCUCACCCGGGCAGCUCAGACCAACCUAGGCCACGUGAUAAGCCGGGCCGAAGAGGGGCCGCCUGGACCGGGGCUCCGGACUGGCUCUGGGCUGCCUAGGGAAUCCCGGGGGUGAACGCUUGGGGCCCGGAACAGAGCUGGUCCUGCAUUUGCCAGGAUCCCGAGCUGCCCAGGGAAGUGAGAAGGAUGCUCUCCCCCAGGAGAAGCUGAGGCUGGCCUGUCCUUUGCCCCCUGGGGAAUGGGUGGGUGAGGCUGUGCCCUGCGAGGGAGUGCGGAGGGGCUCUGUGCAUAGUUCCGUAAAACAUGUUUGCGAUGUGACAGCUAACUAUUAAAGAGGAUUUGUAACAAUCCA